rnacentral:rRNA from 1 species
GAUGAACGCUAGCGGCAGGCCUAAUACAUGCAAGUCGAACGGUGUCUUCGGACAUAGUGGCGCACGGGUGAGUAACACGUGGGAACGUGCCUUUAGGUUCGGAAUAACUCAGGGAAACUUGUGCUAAUACCGAAUGUGCCCUUCGGGGGAAAGAUUUAUCGCCUUUAGAGCGGCCCGCGUCUGAUUAGCUAGUUGGUGGGGUAAUGGCCCACCAAGGCUACGAUCAGUAGCUGGUCUGAGAGGAUGACCAGCCACAUUGGGACUGAGACACGGCCCAAACUCCUACGGGAGGCAGCAGUGGGGAAUCUUGCGCAAUGGGCGAAAGCCUGACGCAGCCAUGCCGCGUGGAUGAUGAAGGUCUUAGGAUUGUAAAAUCCUUUCACCGGUGAAGAUAAUGACUGUAGCCGGAGAAGAAGCCCCGGCUAACUUCGUGCCAGCAGCCGCGGUAACAC